rnacentral:rRNA from 1 species
AUUGAACGCUGGCGGCAGGCUUAACACAUGCAAGUCGAGCGAGCGGCGGACGGGUGAGUAAUGUCUGGGAAACUGCCUGAUGGAGGGGGAUAAAUACUGGAAACGGUAGCUAAUACCGCAUACCAUCAGAUGUGCCCAGAUGGGAUUGGCUAGUAGGUGGGGUAAUGGCUCACCUAGGCGACGAUCCCUAGCUGGUCUGAGAGGUUGACCGGCAAAAUGGGAACUGGGACAGGGCCAGGACUCCACCGGGAGGAAGCAGGGGGGAACAUUGGAAAAUGGGGGAAAGCCUGAUGCAGCCAGGCCGCGGGUGUGAAGAAGGCCUUCGGGUGGUAAAGCACGUUCAGCGAGGAGGCGUUACUCGCAGAAGAAGCAACGGCUAACUACGUGCCAGCAGCCGCGGUAAUUC